UGAGAACCAUUUUUCUCAGAUUGAGUUCUCGUCCCAAAGUUCAGGGGUGGACCUGUCUAGGUUUCUGCUUUUUUUGGCCUCAUCUCAGCAACAUCUGAAUGUUUAAUGGUGUUUGGGAAUCUUCAUGAUGCCUCUGAGAAACUUCAGUAACAGACUCCCUCAAUAGGCAGCAAGCUGUAAUACGGGAUAUGCCCCGAUAGUCUGAAGAAUAUGGGAGAAAAUGAAGACUAACGUUCUCGGGUACGUGCUCACUGCUGUUAUUGAAAUGGCCUGUCAUGCUGAACGUCUGAACAAGCAGCUUUCAUCAUCUAUAAUGACUCUACCUUUCCCAAGAGGAGGCUAGCCGCUUGGAAAUUUUUUGCUUCUUAAGGUUAGGAAGGUGGCAUAAUUGAGCAAACAACAAGUAUUUAGGCAACUUUAAACAGCAAACCAUACCUAUUCAGAGCAAAGGACAUGGUGAAGUGAAAAAAACAACAAAAAAGCCCAACACCUAAACCCUGUACCUGUG